UACAGAGGUGGCAAGCGUUGUUCGGAAUUACUGGGCGUAAAGGGCGCGUAGGUGGCCUUCUUAGUCAGACGUGAAAUCCCUGGGCUUAACUCAGGAACUGCGUCUGAUACUGGAAGGCUCGAGUUCGGGAGAGGAAUGUGGAAUUCCAGGUGUAGCGGUGAAAUGCGUAGAUAUCUGGAGGAACACCGGUGGCGAAGGCGGCAUUCUGGACCGAAACUGACACUGAGGCGCGAAAGCCAGGGGAGCAAACGGGAUUAGAAAA
rnacentral:rRNA from 1 species